UCAUCAUCAUUUUCGUUAUUAUUAUUAUUAUUACUAUUAUUUUUACCAUUAUUAUUACUACUAUCAUCAUCAUCAUCAUCAUUUUAUCAUCAUCUUUACAGUUUUCAUUAUUUCAAUUAAUUAAGUAGACCGAUACAUUCCGAAGGUACUACAUUAAAGAGUGAAUUCUAAUUACAUAACUGAUAUAUCUUGUUCAAAGUCUUUGACAACUUGUUUAUUGGUUAAUGAAUAAAAAUUUUCAAUCUUUCCCCUGCUAACGCGCAAUGCUAGUCAUCCGAUUAUUUAUGCAGGGUACAAUCGGCAACUUUCAAUGAAUUUGAAAGAGAAAUAUGAAAUUAUUGUUGCAGUUUUCUCUGUACUAAACCAUUUACACGAUUAAAUGGUCUUUUUUUAUAUGAUUAUGAAUAAAUUAUAUUAUGUCGUUGGAAAUGUGCAUUUAUUUGCCUUAAUUUUUUUCUAAAUGAUCUUUUGAUAUUCUUGGUUUACUUUUUUUGCUGCUGUUUGCAUUUUAAUUAUUUUUAUAAAAUAAAUAUACAGAUUGUGUAUGUGGUAUGUACAUAAAUAUGCAAUAAGAUUGUUAUUUUGCAUUUUCAUUAGCAGCAAAUAUACAUUUUUCUAUUUAAUAAUAAUACUAAUGCAUAAAUAUUUGAUUCGUUGAUCACAAUAUUUCAUAACCUACAUUAGAAAAUUACAAGUUUUAUAGAUGCUUUUAAAUGUCCGCUUAUUUAUGCGCAAUAACUUGUAUAAGUUAAAUUAUCUAAAAAAAAAUUUGUUUAGAAGUAAAAUUUGGUAGAAUAAAGAA